UUAAGCGACUAAGCGUACACGGUGGAUGCCCUGGCAGUCAGAGGCGAUGAAGGACGUGCUAAUCUGCGAUAAGCGUCGGUAAGGUGAUAUGAACCGUUAUAACCGGCGAUUUCCGAAUGGGGAAACCCAGUGUGUUUCGACACACUAUCAUUAACUGAAUCCAUAGGUUAAUGAGGCGAACCGGGGGAACUGAAACAUCUAAGUACCCCGAGGAAAAGAAAUCAACCGAGAUUCCCCCAGUAGCGGCGAGCGAACGGGGAGGAGCCCAGAGCCUGAAUCAGUGUGUGUGUUAGUGGAAGCGUCUGGAAAGGCGCGCGAUACAGGGUGACAGCCCCGUACACAAAAAUGCACAUGCUGUGAGCUCGAUGAGUAGGGCGGGACACGUGGUAUCCUGUCUGAAUAUGGGGGGACCAUCCUCCAAGGCUAAAUACUCCUGACUGACCGAUAGUGAACCAGUACCGUGAGGGAAAGGCGAAAAGAACCCCGGCGAGGGGAGUGAAAAAGAACCUGAAACCGUGUACGUACAAGCAGUGGGAGCCUCUUUAUGGGGUGACUGCGUACCUUUUGUAUAAUGGGUCAGCGACUUAUAUUCUGUAGCAAGGUUAACCGAAUAGGGGAGCCGAAGGGAAACCGAGUCUUAACUGGGCGUUAAGUUGCAGGGUAUAGACCCGAAACCCGGUGAUCUAGCCAUGGGCAGGUUGAAGGUUGGGUAACACUAACUGGAGGACCGAACCGACUAAUGUUGAAAAAUUAGCGGAUGACUUGUGGCUGGGGGUGAAAGGCCAAUCAAACCGGGAGAUAGCUGGUUCUCCCCGAAAGCUAUUUAGGUAGCGCCUCGUGAAUUCAUCUCCGGGGGUAGAGCACUGUUUCGGCAAGGGGGUCAUCCCGACUUACCAACCCGAUGCAAACUGCGAAUACCGGAGAAUGUUAUCACGGGAGACACACGGCGGGUGCUAACGUCCGUCGUGAAGAGGGAAACAACCCAGACCGCCAGCUAAGGUCCCAAAGUCAUGGUUAAGUGGGAAACGAUGUGGGAAGGCCCAGACAGCCAGGAUGUUGGCUUAGAAGCAGCCAUCAUUUAAAGAAAGCGUAAUAGCUCACUGGUCGAGUCGGCCUGCGCGGAAGAUGUAACGGGGCUAAACCAUGCACCGAAGCUGCGGCAGCGACGCUUAUGCGUUGUUGGGUAGGGGAGCGUUCUGUAAGCCUGUGAAGGUGUGCUGUGAGGCAUGCUGGAGGUAUCAGAAGUGCGAAUGCUGACAUAAGUAACGAUAAAGCGGGUGAAAAGCCCGCUCGCCGGAAGACCAAGGGUUCCUGUCCAACGUUAAUCGGGGCAGGGUGAGUCGACCCCUAAGGCGAGGCCGAAAGGCGUAGUCGAUGGGAAACAGGUUAAUAUUCCUGUACUUGGUGUUACUGCGAAGGGGGGACGGAGAAGGCUAUGUUGGCCGGGCGACGGUUGUCCCGGUUUAAGCGUGUAGGCUGGUUUUCCAGGCAAAUCCGGAAAAUCAAGGCUGAGGCGUGAUGACGAGGCACUACGGUGCUGAAGCAACAAAUGCCCUGCUUCCAGGAAAAGCCUCUAAGCAUCAGGUAACAUCAAAUCGUACCCCAAACCGACACAGGUGGUCAGGUAGAGAAUACCAAGGCGCUUGAGAGAACUCGGGUGAAGGAACUAGGCAAAAUGGUGCCGUAACUUCGGGAGAAGGCACGCUGAUAUGUAGGUGAAGUCCCUCGCGGAUGGAGCUGAAAUCAGUCGAAGAUACCAGCUGGCUGCAACUGUUUAUUAAAAACACAGCACUGUGCAAACACGAAAGUGGACGUAUACGGUGUGACGCCUGCCCGGUGCCGGAAGGUUAAUUGAUGGGGUCAGCGCAAGCGAAGCUCUUGAUCGAAGCCCCGGUAAACGGCGGCCGUAACUAUAACGGUCCUAAGGUAGCGAAAUUCCUUGUCGGGUAAGUUCCGACCUGCACGAAUGGCGUAAUGAUGGCCAGGCUGUCUCCACCCGAGACUCAGUGAAAUUGAACUCGCUGUGAAGAUGCAGUGUACCCGCGGCAAGACGGAAAGACCCCGUGAACCUUUACUAUAGCUUGACACUGAACAUUGAGCCUUGAUGUGUAGGAUAGGUGGGAGGCUUAGAAGUGUGGACGCCAGUCUGCAUGGAGCCGACCUUGAAAUACCACCCUUUAAUGUUUGAUGUUCUAACGUUGACCCGUGAUCCGGGUUGCGGACAGUGUCUGGUGGGUAGUUUGACUGGGGCGGUCUCCUCCUAAAGAGUAACGGAGGAGCACGAAGGUUGGCUAAUCCUGGUCGGACAUCAGGAGGUUAGUGCAAUGGCAUAAGCCAGCUUGACUGCGAGCGUGACGGCGCGAGCAGGUGCGAAAGCAGGUCAUAGUGAUCCGGUGGUUCUGAAUGGAAGGGCCAUCGCUCAACGGAUAAAAGGUACUCCGGGGAUAACAGGCUGAUACCGCCCAAGAGUUCAUAUCGACGGCGGUGUUUGGCACCUCGAUGUCGGCUCAUCACAUCCUGGGGCUGAAGUAGGUCCCAAGGGUAUGGCUGUUCGCCAUUUAAAGUGGUACGCGAGCUGGGUUUAGAACGUCGUGAGACAGUUCGGUCCCUAUCUGCCGUGGGCGCUGGAGAACUGAGGGGGGCUGCUCCUAGUACGAGAGGACCGGAGUGGACGCAUCACUGGUGUUCGGGUUGUCAUGCCAAUGGCACUGCCCGGUAGCUAAAUGCGGAAGAGAUAAGUGCUGAAAGCAUCUAAGCACGAAACUUGCCCCGAGAUGAGUUCUCCCUGACUCCUUGAGAGUCCUGAAGGAACGUUGAAGACGACGACGUUGAUAGGCCGGGUGUGUAAGCGCAGCGAUGCGUUGAGCUAACCGGUACUAAUGAACCGUGAGGCUUAACCUU
rnacentral:rRNA from 1 species